GAGCAAGCCUGUGGCUCUGCAGAGUGGUGCACAGAGACAGCCGAGCAGACACCCAGUCUUCUCUCUCCUUUUCAUUCUGAGAGCGAGAGAGCGAGCGAGAGAGAGAAAGAGAAAUAUUUUUGCACAGUCUGUAAAGUUUGUAUUCUAAACGUAGGUCUUGAUAUUUCCAAGAAUAUGAAUCUAUAAGAAUCUGAAUACCUUUAAAGAUGAGGACUUUCUUUAAUACUCACCCACGUAUUACUUGUUGUUCUCAUGUCAGACUUUGUAAACAAAUGUAUAAAAUAUUUAACACAUUAUUUAUACAUUUCUUGCCUUCAUGGAAAGCCAUUAAUUGAGCACAGAUAUAUUAGAAAUAAAGUGCUAUUUGCAUGUGGAACUAUCACGGGAAGCAUGAAAUCCAUGUCUGCAUGUUUCUGGUGACCUACUCCUAUUGUAUGGAGAUAUUACAGUGUGGCACGUGGUUGUAAACUUGCAUCAUAUUUCUGGAGACGCAGCUGCUUCAAAUCCCCGUAAUCCACCAUCAAUCUGCCAACGAUGAAUUGCAUCAGAAAUAGAAAAAUGCAUGUGGAUGAGACGUGUAUAUAGGCCUACUGACACAGGAAGAGUAGCCUCUGACGAAAUAUUUAGAAGAAAAAUAACAUUGAGAAUGUAAUCCACAAUGAGUGACGGUUUACGCACGGAUUUUACGCCUCAAAUGAGACAUUUAUUGGUGUUUGUUCAAGUUGAAUGGUCCCAGAUCCGUAUUUAAUACCUUAUUUUCAUCAGUAUUACUGACACCUAAGAAUUGGCCUAUUGCACAAUAUAUUAACAAUUGGUUAUAGUAGUACUCUGGAUAGAUGCCUUCCUAUUCACCUCCCAUAGAAUCAUCCCGAUUUGAAGUAAAACAAUAAGAUCUAUAUUCUUUAUUAAUAAUUAAAAAAAAAUGUCAUAUUGUUUUCCUCCCUGUGUUGAACUUUGAAAAAGUGCUAGGCCCCGGGCUGUUUAUUGCUUAUAUCCAGACAAAGAGCCUGGAAAGCCUGCACGUUAUCAAUCUUGCUCGCCAAAAGGUCUGACAGCUCCUUGCCCUAAGAACACAUUUAAACCAUCUAACUCUGCCUUAGAUCAUAUGUGGCCGCCAGGAAGACUGCAACAACGUGCUACUUAUGGGGGGAAACUACACAACUUGGACGUUUCUUUAAUAGGAAUCCAUUUCCGAAUAUGGAUGUUCUACAUAGAGCAGACAAUGAUAUCGACAUACACUAUAGGUGGGUUAUCUUAUCCUGCUAUAUUUUCUUAAAUGGAAGGAAAAUCUACAACAUUUUCGUUUUCAAAAGAACAACGUUAGUGGGAAAUAGCAGCAAAAGAGUGGAUUGACUGAGAUGGCGAGAAAGAAUCGAACGGAUUUGCUUUUACACGGCGUCUAUUGUCUGCAGAGGGUAGUGGACAGGAGCUACAUUAACCGUCUGUCCCCCAGUCAAGACAAGACACCUGGGAAGCAUGGCAGGAAAAAAAGUGGACUAGAAGGGAACCUUUUUUUCUCUUCGAGGACUAACGUUACUUAUCGGAGGAAAGUAAACGUUCUCAGAUUGUUGUCAGAAUACUUUAAUAUUCCACAUGGAAAUUGUUAUCAACAGCAAUACCAAGUAGUAGUAGAAUAGCUGCACUAGGCCUAUUCAUUUUGGGAUCAAUAUAAUAGUGAGAAUAACCAGACAUUACAAAUAGUGUUUUAAUUGUAAUUAAGGGUUAAUAAUCUUACUGAUAUUUGACAUUUUUUACUUUCUUUUGAAGUUUUCUGUUUAAAAAAUCAAGCAUCCUGUUGUAUAGCGGAUUCGGUUCAAGUCAGUGAAUUGUUAGAUCGAAGACAGAUGACAUUGAUUAAAGGUCAGUUAAUAGUUUGAUGUUUGCAUUGUCUUAUUUCUAUUCCUGAAUUUCCUGAGCACAAUAAAACCUUCUCUCACAUGGAUGUUAUGUUUUGUCUUAUGAAUGAAUCAUAAUCAGUCGAGUCGAAUUAUUGUUGGACCAGUAUGACAAUGUAAUCCAUACCUGCAUUAAGCCCUUUGGGGGGGAAUAGCUAUGGGACAUUAUUUUCAUGGAACAGGAAGUGAACACAUAACAUAUCGAGUAUUCCUGAACAGACAUGUUGCAGUGGGAUAGGAGGGGAGUAGUAAGACAUGAUGGAUAAGACUGGGUAUCCAUUAGAAACAUGUGUAGGUCUGUAUAUGUGGGGAGGAGGAUCAUUCACAAUGGCGAUGGCAGUGAGUGGGACUAGAGAGAUGACUAUCCACCUACAUAUGGUCUUGUUCUGUAGAUAAACCUCCCCCACACAGACACAGCUCAAAGGAUGAUAUGAGUGUGUAGUUACAUAUCCGGACAUAUGAAUUCCUGGUAAGUCAUACUCCCUUCCUGUAGCUAUAGGGUUUAUACCUUAUGAAUAUAGCCUAUAGGUCUAGGACAUUAUGCUGCUAUGUUGGUCCCGGAUAUGACGGUAGAAGAUGGAUUCUGCGGAGAGGAGUAUGUCACUGAACCAAAGAUGGUGAAUAAAUAAAGAUGUCCCACUUUGCCGUUUAUCAUUGAAAAAAGUUGUCAUUUCAAUACCGCUUAACGGAGUGGUUCUCCCAUAGGAACCAGUGCAUUAGCAGAUGGGUCUGUUCUGCUUAGUUCAUUGACUACAUGAACCAGAAAGAAAUAGGGAGUGGGAUGUCUUGCUUCCUCUCCCCUCUCUGAACAUCAAGGGCGUCCAGGAAUUGGGUCAGGAGACGACAAGGCCUUGUGCUGAAUGAUUUAACAACGUCAUUUGUUUUCAAACGUGUUUUGUAGUUAUGAGGUAAUAUUUAGGCCUUUUUCAAAUCAUGUUUAAAAAACCCACCUUUUUUUUAGCUUGGCCUUUAAUCAGAGAUGUUAUUGUUUAAAGCAUCCUUUUGUGUUUUAUGCUUUUUUAUUCAUCUAUUUUAUUGCUUCUGGUUUGCUUUUAAAUCUUUCAUGCUUUACUGUAACAUGUGAUGAGAUUUUAAAUGCAUUUUAAAUAAAGUUUGAUUGAUUUGAUUAAAUACUUUCUUAAUCAUUAUUUGAUAUUUAAUGCAUAAAGGUGUAAAUAAUAAUAGGCUUUCAUUAUUUUCAGGACCAGUAUAUUAUGUAAUGUUACCACUUGCCUCUCCGGCAUUAUUUGAAACCAUUUCCAAAAGAAAAGAAACGGACAAAUAUCAUAUGACCUUUGCAUUAAAGUGGUGUAUAUUGUAUCAUAUGACCUUUGCAUUAAAGUGGUGUAUAUUGUAUCAUAUGACCAUUGCAUUAAAGUGGUGUAUAUUGUAUCAUAUGACCUUUGCAUUAAAGUGGUGUAUAUUGUAUCAUAUGACCUUUGCAUUAAAGUGGUGUAUAUUGUAUCAUAUGACCUUUGCAUUAAAGUGGUGUAUAUUGUAUCAUAUGACCUUUGCAUUAAAGUGGUGUAUAUUGUAUCAUAUGACCUUUGCAUCACAAGGGUGUAUAUACUAUAGGCCUAACUGUG